rnacentral:rRNA from 1 species
CACGUAGGGCGCAAGCGUUGUCCGGAAUUACUGGGCGUAAAGGGCUCGUAGGCGGCCAACUAAGUCAGACGUGAAAUCCCUCGGCUUAACCGGGGAACUGCGUCUGAUACUGGAUGGCUUGAGUUUGGGAGAGGGAUGCGGAAUUCCAGGUGUAGCGGUGAAAUGCGUAGAUAUCUGGAGGAACACCGGUGGCGAAGGCGGCAUCCUGGACCAACACUGACGCUGAUGAGCGAAAGCCAGGGGAGCAAACGGG